CCUACGGGUGGCAGCAGUGGGGAAUAUUGCACAAUGGGCGAAAGCCUGAUGCAGCGACGCCGCGUGAGUGAAGAAGUAUUUCGGUAUGUAAAGCUCUAUCAGCAGGGAAGAAAAUGACGGUACCUGACUAAGAAGCCCCGGCUAACUACGUGCCAGCAGCCGCGGUAAUACGUAGGGGGCAAGCGUUAUCCGGAUUUACUGGGUGUAAAGGGAGCGUAGACGGUAAAGCAAGUCUGAAGUGAAAGCCCGCGGCUCAACUGCGGGACUGCUUUGGAAACUGUUUAACUGGAGUGUCGGAGAGGUAAGUGGAAUUCCUAGUGUAGCGGUGAAAUGCGUAGAUAUUAGGAGGAACACCAGUGGCGAAGGCGACUUACUGGACGAUAACUGACGUUGAGGCUCGAAAGCGUGGGGAGCAAACAGGAUUAGAUACCCGUGUA
rnacentral:rRNA from 1 species